rnacentral:lncRNA from 1 species
AGGGAGGGUGGGCUUCGAGGCCCUGCCAGUGUGAUGUCACCAUAGGAGGCAGCUGAAGGCCGGUGUUUAAUUAUCCUGGUGGCUCCUGCAUCUGCAUUUACACCCCCGGACCCCCGCCUACCCUCCUCAGCUUCCCUUCUCCUUCAGAUGUGAAAUAAGAUCAACCAAGUGACUUAUGGACCCCCACCCCCUCUCCUCAUCACGGGGGAGCCUUCUUUCAGGGCCUGACCACCAGGCUGUGAGAAGCCCAAUCCACAUGGACAGGCCACGUGGGGGUGCUCUGGCCAGUCGUCAGCCAUCUCAGCCCAGGUCCCGGUCAUGGGAGUGCACAAACCACCUUGGAAGCUCCAGGUAUCGUGGUGGACAGAAGAACAAUGGCCCUGGUGCCAGGACUCCUGAUCCUCAGAAUCUGGG